UGACUGAGCGGCGGACGGGUGAGUAACGCGUGGGUAACCUGCCUCAUACAGGCGGAUAACAGUUAGAAAUGACUGCUAAUACCGCAUAAGGCCACAGCACCGCAUGGUGCAGGCGUAAAAACUCCGGUGGUAUGAGAUGGACCCGCGUCUGAUUAGGUAGUUGGCGGGGUAACGGCCCACCAAGCCGACGAUCAGUAGCCGACCUGAGAGGGUGACCGGCCACAUUGGGACUGAGACACGGCCCAAACUCCUACGGGAGGCAGCAGUGGGGAAUAUUGCACAAUGGGGGAAACCCUGAUGCAGCGACGCCGCGUGAGCGAAGAAGUAUUUCGGUAUGUAAAGCUCUAUCAGCAGGGAAGAAAAUGACGGUACCUGACUAAGAAGCCCCGGCUAACUACGUGCCAGCAGCCGCGGUAAUACGUAGGGGGCAAGCGUUAUCCGGAUUUACUGGGUGUAAAGGGAGCGUAGACGGAGCAGCAAGUCUGAUGUGAAAACCCAGGGCUCAACCCCGGGACUGCAUUGGAAACUGUUGAUCUGGAGUGCCGGAGAGGUAAGCGGAAUUCCUAGUGUAGCGGUGAAAUGCGUAGAUAUUAGGAGGAACACCAGUGGCGA
rnacentral:rRNA from 1 species